AGUGAACGCUGGCGGUAGGCCUAACACAUGCAAGUCGAACGGCAGCACAGUAAGAGCUUGCUCUUACGGGUGGCGAGUGGCGGACGGGUGAGGAAUACAUCGGAAUCUACUUUUUCGUGGGGGAUAACGUAGGGAAACUUACGCUAAUACCGCAUACGACCUACGGGUGAAAGCAGGGGAUCUUCGGACCUUGCGCGAUUGAAUGAGCCGAUGUCGGAUUAGCUAGUUGGCGGGGUAAAGGCCCACCAAGGCGACGAUCCGUAGCUGGUCUGAGAGGAUGAUCAGCCACACUGGAACUGAGACACGGUCCAGACUCCUACGGGAGGCAGCAGUGGGGAAUAUUGGACAAUGGGCGCAAGCCUGAUCCAGCCAUACCUCGUGGGUGAAGAAGGCCUUCGGGUUGUAAAGCCCUUUUGUUGGGAAAGAAAAGCAGCAGGUUAAUACCCCGCUGUUCCGACGGUACCCAAAGAAUAAGCACCGGCUAACUUCGUG
rnacentral:rRNA from 1 species